AUGCAAAUAGAGAGGAAGGAGGGGAGGACGUCAAGUCAUCAUGGCCCUUACGUCCGGGGCUACACANGUGNUACAAUGGGCAGUACAGAGGGCAGCUACCUGGUAACAGGAUGCCAAUCUCAAAAAGCUGUUCACAGUUCGGAUUGAGGUCUGCAACUCGACCUCAUGAAGUUGGAUUUCGUUAGUAAUCGCAGAUCAGCAAUGCUGCGGUGAAUACGUUUCCCGGGCCUUGUACACACCGCCCGUCAAGCCAUGGAAGCUGGGGG
rnacentral:rRNA from 1 species